GUUGCUUCAUAAUGAUGAACUCCUUCAGCCAUAGUGAAGGAUGUUUCAAGUUUCCAAAGCAUAGAUCAAUAAUAUGUUACCAGGAUUAAACAGCAUUGUGCGUUCAUGUAUAUUGCACCUUGUUACCUGUCUCCUGGUAUAUUU